rnacentral:rRNA from 1 species
UGAGGAAUAUUGGUCAAUGGGCGGGAGCCUGAACCAGCCAAGCCGCGUGAGGGAGGAAGGCCCUAUGGGUCGUAAACCUCUUUUGCCAGGGAACAAAAGCGAGUAUGUAUACUAGUCUGAGUGUACCUGAAGAAAAAGCAUCGGCUAACUCCGUGCCAGCAGCCGCGGUAAUACGGAGGAUGCGAGCGUUAUCCGGAUUUAUUGGGUUUAAAGGGUGCGUAGGCGGCGGUGCAAGUCAGCGGUAAAAGCCCGGGGCUCAACCCCGGCGAGCCGUUGAAACUGCAGUGCUAGAGAAGGCGAGGGGUACGCGGAAUGCGCAGUGUAGCGGUGAAAUGCUUAGAUAUUGCGCAGAACUCCGAUUGCGAAGGCAGCGUACUGGCGCCUGACUGACGCUGAGGCACGAAAGCGUGGGGAUCGAACAGGAUUAGAUACC